CAUAAAAACAAUAUUUCCUACUCAUUUCUGAAAAUCAGAAAAAGAAAGGGGAUAAUGAAACGGAAGUUGGAACAUGGAACCCUAACUCCAGUUGAUUCCACUGCUUGAAAUUGAUCGAUUGGAAGCUCCUCUGGCUUCAAUCUUCACGGCUUGCCUUGCUCCCUGCAGGUCUCUUUCCCUCGAGGACUCUUCAAGCUUCAAUCUUCAGGUCUCUUUCUCUCUGAUUUCUCCCUUCAGGCUUCAAACUUCUUUGCUCUGUAAAUCUGAUUGUGACUCUGUAGGGGCGUAGGUGAGGCCUGAGGCGGUGGGUGAGGGCGUGGGUGAGGGCCUGAGGGAGGGAGUGAGGCGGCGGGCGGCGGCGGCGGGCUGUGGGUGAGUUAGAGUGAGAGUGAGAGUGAGAGUGAGGACGGCGUGCAGAGGCGGUAGGUGGUGGGUGAGAGAGACAGAGAGUGAGAGAUGAAACCUUUAAAGGAAGAAAGGGGAAAAUCCAAAAAGUGAGAGACAGAGAGUGAGAGAUGCGUGAGUUGAGUUGUGUCAAGUGUCAAAGAUAUGAGAUUCCAGAGAGUGAGAGGUAGAGAGUGAGUGGCAGAGACUAGAGAGUGAGAAUUGGGUAACCUUGCAAUGUUUGUGCCUCUAAAAUUGCUUGCCACACUUCAAUUUCAAUCUAAGUAAUAAUGUCAACGGAUAUCCCUUUUCUAAGUAAUUCUGGAGUUGCUGUGCAAUAUGCGUCAUAGUGCUUGGUGCUGUCUUAUUGGAGGAUACUUAAUUUUUUGGUGGAUGUUGCAAAUGGUUGGCUUGUAGGCAUAAGGAAGCUACUGUCGUUACUUAUUUGGCAGCUUUGGUCCUCUUGGUGGAGCACUGAUUUUCAGUUUACAAUUCCCCAACAUUGGUUCUACUUUGGCUCCCCAUGGAGGUCCUUUGGGCUUUAGGAAAUUAGUACUCUUCUUGCUUUAGGAAAUUAGUAUAUUUCAAAAAAAAAAAUUAAUUGUUUAUUGAAUAUUAACUUUGAAAAUUAAUAUUGUGGCGUGUGAAUUUGCGGUUUAAAAAUUUGCCCAGGCUUCUUAAAAUUUCUGGUUCCGCCACGAAUUGGAGGCAUGUAUCCUUCUGGUGUAUUUGGGUUUUGUUUCAAACCAAAUCAUAAUUAAAUAAAUAAAAUAAAAUUUCAAUUCAUAUUUGAUUUAUAAAUUGUAAGUAUCACAAGUAUAUAAUUAUAUAAUUUAUAGAAAUGUAUGUUUGCAUCAUUGUUAAUGUAUUCUUUGAUUUUUUGGUCAUCCGUAUGAGGUGCACUCUGUUGUGUUACUAUACAACUACUACCACCGGAAACAGCAUCGAUAGCUAGCAUUUCUGGCAUUUGAUGAAUUUUGGAAGUUGGCUGUGGAACUGAAACCAACUCUGUCAGCACAUAUAAAAUCCAAGCAGAUACCAGAUGAAAUGGAGCUUGUUGAUGUUGAUAAACGGCCGUCUCUUACAGAAAAUGAGAUCUUGAAUGCAUGUAAUAUAUGUGUGUGCUUAGAUGCAUCGAAAAUUGUACCUGAUAUAGAGGGAUGGACCAUUUGUAAAGUUGUUGUCCUUUUAAUCGACAAUAAGGACGAAAACUUCUAUUUGAUUUUCGGUUCAAUCACUCAGGGGGUAUGGUCAAUGGUUGAAAAAGAUGUGGAUACAUCUACUCAAAGUUGUGAAGUGACAACUGGAACUAUAUAUACAUACACAAAGAGAAGAUCUGUUCAGAAGACUUCAAAAAAUGAAUUUAAUGUCGGUGAAGACAGGUUUUUGCAAGCUGGGUAUGCUGCUGUAGAGGAAGCUGCCGGUAACUCUUAGAAAGAUUUCCCGAGAUACUUUUAGAAACUAUUGCACUUCAAUUUUAAUUUAUUCAUAAAUUAAAAUAUCAGGUCAGGGGAGAGUUUCCAUAUAAGGAAUUUUGACAAGAUUCGUUAUUAUGGUGUACACUUGUGUUUUCCAUCUAUUUUGAGGUGUGAAUAAGACUGAUGUUAUGCUUUUGGAAAGCUACACUGUGUAUUCUCAGAGCAAGGAAAAGACAGUUUCUCGCUUAAGUGCUCUCAGACUCAGUUGAUCAAUAAGGAUUUCACUCCAAUUCCUAUCAAAGAUGUAAUUGAAAGGAUUGUUUCAAUUUAUUUUGUUUUUCUGCUCACGGAUGAUUCAGGUCCCAAAGGUUGGUCCUUUGGUCCAAAGGAGUUUUAACAGUUGAAUUGUCACCUCAGUUGUUGAGUACUUCCAUAUGCUUCCAUAUUCUUAGAUAAUCUCGGAGUGGAUUUCUUGGUUGGUCUACCUCUUCCCCAUUUUAUAGUGCUUGAUUUAGAUUGAGUUGGCAGUAUUUUCACUAUUUUACAUCCUAUAUUUCGUAAGGGGUGCUAUUUUAGUUUUUGCUUCAUCAAGUUUGCUUCUUGUCCUGAGUUCAUAUGUCUGGCAGCCAAGGAGUUGGAAAAUAAAGUAUAACUACUAUGCAAUCAUUUUACCAAAUUAAGUGAUCCUGAAUAUGAUACUAAACCGUGAAGUUAGAAAUACUGAUUAACCAUGACACUCGAGUUGCUUGAUUGGGCAGUUUGCACUUUGCUGUAAUAGAUUCUGUGCUUAUAAGUCUCAAACUUGACACGACGUUUUUGAAAUUAUUGAUCAUUUCCUUUAAUUUUUUUUUCUGCUUCUUUCUGUUUGGUGUAACAUGUUCUUCCUUUGUAGAGAAACAUCCUCACAUAGUUUGCAAGCUUCAAAGAUGGCAGAGAAAAAUGUGAUGGCGGAGAGCCCUGAAGUGACAGAAUUGUAUGUAAGUGGAGAGGGCUUGUCUUUUUGCCUUGAUAACCAGCCAAGAUGUGAUACUAUGGAAGAUCUUAAUCAGAAGGAGAACAAUGGCUGCAAGGAAGCCCGGGAUAUGGAUGUGGACAACUCUUUAGUUCUUCCAUCGGAAGAUAUAGAGGAAUGCCAGAAUAUCGCUAACAAUUUACAAGUUAUUGAAUAUAAAGAAAUAGAAAAUUCAUCUGUUCAACAUUACUCAAAUGGAUCCACAAGCCCAUUCAAGUGUUUGUCAUCUCUCAUCCAGCUACAUGGCAUUGGGUUGGAGGCUAAGAAGGUUGAUUCAAUGAUCAUCGCUGAGGGUGGAAUCAAAUUAAAGAUCAAUCUGCUCUUGAUAAGAUCUGUGCCAAUACACUCUCGAAAAUAAUUCCAUAGAAGAAUGUGCCUUAAUUGCGAUAAAUUCUAACUUGGAUCUUGAGAAGAUCCAAAUUUUUAUUGCUUCAAAGAUGAAGACAUUGUCACAAACUGCCCUCCAUGUUCUAAUAGGAAAGAGGAAUGCACUGGCUCUUCAGCACCGCAUGAUAGCAGAUGAGAUUGCUCUGUGAUAUGAAAAUUCAGAUAAUGAGUGGUGGUGAAGAUGACUUGGAAUUAAAGAUAGAUUCCAUAAUAGAAGGCUGUAAUGAUACAUGGGUAAGAAAUCAAGGAAGGUGUAGGUAAGUUCCUCUUCUGUGUUUGUCCCUUACACCUGCGCUUUUUCAUAUGUUAAUUAAUUUUUUUUAGGCAAAUGUUAGUUGUUAGUAAAUUAGUCCUCCUCAGGACCUUUCACCCUCCACCUUUCCAAACCUUUGUUUAAUUGUUUAUAAUUUUCAAACCUCGAUUCUUUGCCCAUAGUAGACGUAGACGUAGUACAUCCCUGAAGCUAGCGUGCGUUGUUUUCCUGCUUUGGGUUUUGAAUUUAUGAUCCUUAUCUUUACAGAUUUUAAACUGACAUACAUUGAUUUUUUCGGAACUUUAUUUUUUAUUGAAUUUUCAGCUUUUUAGAAUUAUUUUUGGAUUUUAUAUUUUUGACAUUUAAAUAUUUUAUUUUAAAUUUUAACAAAAUAAAGAUAAAGAAAAGACGACGGAAAAAAUUAGGUGUUCACAAUGAUGGUGGUUGUGGUGUUGAAGCAAUAACAACAUCAGUAUUGCGGUUCCUAGUGCGAGUCUUCUUCCUCUGUGAAGAAAUAGACUCGUGAUUUACCAUUCCCUAAAAACAAAAUCUCAAAGACCAUCAAAAGGAUCGCUUGAUGCCAUCUGUGUAAUUUGUAGUACAAGUUUUAUCUCUAAUACAAAAUAUCAUGUAAAAUAAAUAUUAAAUAACAUGCUCAACAUAAAUUUAAAAAAUUAAUAUCAAUAACUAAUUUCUGUGAACCUCAACUUAUAUCUCACUAGUAUAAAAAAAUAAAUUAGGAACGGUAAAACCAGUGUUAUUAAACUCGGACCGGUGAGGGGACUGGGUCAAUGGGUCAUUGGUUCAACCAGUGAGUCGAUGGUUGAACCGUUUGAUUCGGUGUCUACAAAAAAAAUUAAUUUCAUAAUACAACCAAACAAUAUUUAACAAGUGAGAAAAAAAAAUUGUAUAUGGCAUAUAAUCUUAUAAACUUUAACUUAUUAUAUGAUUUAUUAAAAACCAACACCAACGAAUUAGAUCUGAAACAUGUAUUCAGUGUUAUCAGACUCGGACCGGUGAUCGACUCGGUCGAGGCACUGGGUCAAUGAGUCAAUGGUUCAACCACUGGGUCACUGGUUGAACCGUUUGACUCGGAAUAUAUUAUUAUUUAAAAAAAAUCAUAAUACAAGUUAAUACUAAUAUCUAAUUAUUUCAAAUUGUAAAUUUAAAACCUUCAAACAAACUAAUAUAAGUAUUAAGUCUUAUAAUUAUUAUUACAAUUUCACCUGAAAUAUUAUUAAUUCAUCAUAAUUUAAUUAUUAUUUUUUUUACCUAACACACCUUUGUUUAUUAUGUAACAGAAAUUAGCCUUCAAAAAAAAAAAUUAUGUAACACAAAUUCACCAAUUUUUUUUUAUGUAAGAGACACGUUCAAAAAAAUAUAACAGACCACAACUUUUGAGGUUGGGCCCAAUACCACCAAAAUAAAGUUUAACCAAUAAAAAGAGAGCAAUCAGUAAAAGGGCAUGAGAGUGAGACAAUGAGAAACCCUAGCAAAUAGCAAACAAUUGGGACAGCACCACAAUACCACAGCCGCACACAACACAAGCAAUUCUCUCCCCCUCUCUCUCUCACCCACAAGAGUAAGCAGUUCUCCCUCUCACGCUCUCUCCUUCUCUCCCACAAGACUUGAUUUUCAACCAAAACUUAAUGAAAUCAUGAAAUCAUGAAUCUUUCUUCUCUUUCUUCAACUGAUUCGGGUCCAUUAGAAUUAGAAGUCAUCUACAAUAAAAACAUACAGUGUGAUUUAGAGAAACACCAAGAAAGGAGAAGAAGCUCACCAGGAAGAAGAAGCUGAACCGUGAACCGCGAGCAAGGCGUGGUGGAGCGGCGGCGGAUACAAGCUUCACGUGGUGGAGCGGCGGCGGCGCACGAUGAGGAAGAUCGAAUCGAAUGGGUGAAGGAUGCAGCACUGAGGUCUGAGACUCUAAAGAUCGAAUGGGUGAAACUGUGAAAGUUGAAUUGAAACCCUACUGACUGAACGACACAGUUUUGAUUUUUAUGUUUUCAGUGUUUUUUUUUAAAAUAGCGAACCGGUCCAACCGUAAGGAUCGAGUCACCGGUUUUUUGACUGAACCGGCCGGUUUUUUUCGAUUCGCAGCGAGUGAAUUGCACGACCGAUCUGAUGCUCGGCUCGAACAGGCAUAGGGUCCGGUUCCCGGCUCAACCUGUCGAACCGGCCGGUUCGAGCCGAGUUUUAUAACACUGCAUGUAUUUAAGAAAUUAACUCUUGAUUUGCUACAAUGUCUAUUCAGUUUUUUUUUUUGGUCAAAGAUCUACAUAUUCAGUUGAAAAGAAUAAAACUGUGACCCAAAUACUUAGUUUGUUUUUGUUAAGAUGAGGCCCAAAUACAUAGAUAAUAGAAGUAAAUAGCAAAAACCACUUAGUGUGUAUAAUAAAAAAAAACAUACGGCCCAUUUCCCUGAUUCUAGUAACUAAUAAGGUGAAAGUGUGAAACCCUAACCAUAAAAGAAACUUUGUGCGCAGCCUUUCAUUUAGAUUUGGUUUUUCAUUUUUGGUUUUACACAUAUAUGAAGAUGGCUUUGUUAUUGAGGCAUUCUAACGAUCUUGGCAAGAGCAUUGAAUGAAGGAUCUACUCUGUUUUGCGUCCUAUGUUUGCUACUGAGCUGUUCUUGUUUCUUCCUUUUUCUUAUUUCUGGGUUUCUUCCCUAUAACUUCUCUUGUUCAUUGAUCUGAUGAUGUAUUUGGGUUGGGUGGCACCAAAAAAACGGGGAGAAGAUUUUUUUCUUGGUUCAAAACGUGACUUGCUGGUCCAACCUUUUAAACCCGAGUCACCGGUUUUUUGUCUGAACCGGCCGAGUUGUUCCGGUUUGCACUGGGUCAAUUGCAUGACCGAUCCGAUGUGUAACUCGAACCGGUCAGGUGUCCGGUUCCCGAUCGGACCGGUCGUACCGGCCGGUCCGAGCCGAGUUUUAUAACACUGGCUAAAACUACAAAAAAUUCAAAUAAAAAUCUUAAUUAGGAACGCUCAAACUAACUGACUGUUCUGGUUGUAGAUAACUUGGCAGUCAAUUUUACCGAAUAAAAGGUGUCAGCGCUAGUUUAUCAAUUGAAAUAGUCAUUGGUAGGUUGUGCGCUGAAAUUUUCUACCACGUAAUCGGCAACUUCCAACCAUGAGUAACUUUUUCUGGAAAUAACUUGUAUCAGUGACCUUAAUUACCGAAGGUUUUGCAAUCAUUAGUAAGAAGUCGAUGGUCAAACCUUGUUUUCUUGUAGUGUAACUCGAUUGUUGGAAACAUAAUCUCUGAAGACGCUAGAAUAUCCGGCGAAGGAAAGAGUUAACUGUCCCCGAGGGCUAGCUCAAGUGGUAUGGUUCGAAUCCUGAAGAUGACUAAUUUACUAACAACUAACAUUUGCCUAUAAAAAAAGGAAAGGGUUAACUGCAUCCACCUGACCCGAUGGAACGCUUUUCCUGCAUAGGUUGUAGAUCUUUGAAUUCUUGGUUGGCAUCGGCGACAGUGCAUUUACCACUCCCCACGGGUGAUGCCAGUGGACCGGACAAAUCUAGCGCUAGUCACCCAAGUAAGGGAUUCAACUUUGGGAACUCAUGAAUGCUUCAACAUCAGAGUUCUCAGACUUGACUCAUCUCAAGGCUCUCUUCCUUCGUGCGAAUUGGAUUAGGCGUGGAUUCUGCGAGAAAGCACAUUCAUCGUAUACUUUAUUUCAUCAUAUACAUUUUUACUAUCGGACAUAGUGUUAGUGGCAUUGCUGAGGCCAACAGAGACACAUUUAUAGGUAGAAGAGUCAGGGGAUCUCUCUAAAGAGGGUUGUUCACUAAAUUGAUAUUUUACCGCACGGAAGAAUAUUUAAACCCUCCGCCUUUAGAAAUGUGAGAAUUUUUUCUCACUUAUUUUUUUCUCUUCUAAUAUGAGUGAAAAUGAAAUGUGAAGAAAGAAUAUUCAUAAGGAUUGAUGUUGGCAGUU